GGGAAUUGUAAUUUGAAGGUUGUUUUGGUUGGGAAAAGAAUACUUUAAGUCCAUUGGAAAAUGGCGCCAUGGAGGGUGAUAGCCCCGUAAAAGUAUCUCCUACCCUUUUGUCCAAAACUUCCAAAGAGUCGAGUUGUUUGGGAAUGCAGCUCUAAGUGGGUGGUAAAUUCCAUCUAAAGCUAAAUAUUGGCGAGAGACCGAUAGCGAACAAGUACAGUGAUGGAAAGAUGAAAAGCACUUUGAAAAGAGAGUGAAAAAGUACGUGAAAUUGUUGAAAGGGAAGGGCUUGCAAGCAGACACAACCUCGGUUGGGCCAGCAUCGGAGUGGGAGGAGACAAAAAGGGGAAGGAAUGUAGCUUUUUCUUAAAGUGUUAUAUCCUUCUCUUCCAUCUCCAUCCCCUUCCGAGGCCUGCGAU
rnacentral:rRNA from 1 species